ACACCGCGGCAGGUACUCGUUUGAGGCUGAGUCGACCUAGGGGGAGGGCCCGUGACCGCUUCCGAUAUAUCCGUCACUCGGUGUUGGCCGUGAGCGGGGACUCGAACUCGGGUGGCCGGGUUCGCAGCGCAGCGCGCGAACCGCCGCCAACACAGGAACAACAACAGCAGCGGCCGCCGAUCGCCACGGAAUGGUGGUGGUGCUGGUUGUGGUGCGACCUACUCGUGCUUGUGCCAGACUGGGUGCACUUUUUGAGGCCACGUGAAGUGUCGGUGGGUGUGACGUCGCAGCGGUGCUUGUGCCAGACUGGGUGCACUUUGGAGGCCAUGUGAAGUGUCGAAGGCUUCUGUGGCAGUAGGUUACGGGACAGGCUCGGUUGUUGCGGGUCUACUGACAGACAAAUCAAGACACUUUCUGUUUUUCCAGAAGCGACCUGGCUACCACAAAUGGCAGCUCAACGAAGUGGGUUCAUCACAUGGACAUUUAAAGCAGCAGCCAGCAUCACAACGCGUGAUGUUGAUUCCAAAUGUGGGGGGUUGAAAAACCCGGGGGAAAAUCCACCCGACGACGGGGAGAGAGAGAGACACCGCAAACUCCAAAUAUAAAGCAGCAGGCGUCAGGGUCGGGAUCGAUUCCACGACCUCCUGUAUACCAGGCGAG